CCCCUAGAUGUUCUGGGCCGCACGCGCGCUACACUGAACAGUUCAACAAGUCUUAACCUUGGCCGAUAGGUCUGGGUAAUCUUUGAACGCUGUUCGUGAUUGGGAUAGACCUUUGCAAUUAUGGGUCUUCAACGAGGAAUUCCUAGUAAACGCAAGUCAUCAGCUUGCAUUGAUUACGUCCCUGCCCUUUGUACACACCGCCCGUCGCACCUACCGAUUGAAUGGUCCGGUGAAGCCUCGGGAUUGUGGCGAGUUCCCUUUAUUGGGAGUUUGUCGCGAGAACUUGUCUAAACCUUAUCAUUUAGAGGAAGGUGAAGUCGUANCA
rnacentral:rRNA from 1 species